rnacentral:rRNA from 1 species
GAUGAACGCUGGCGGCGUGCCUAAUACAUGCAAGUCGAGCGAAUAGUCGAGGACUUUGCUCCUCUGACGUUAGCGGCGGACGGGUGAGUAACACGGGGAUAACCUACCUCUAAGCCUGGGAUAACUUCGGGAAACCGGAGCUCAUACCGGAUAAUAUAUUGAACAGCAUUGUUCAUUAGUGAAAGACGGUUUUUCUCUGACUUAUAGAUGUCUCCGCGCCUAAUUAGCUAGUUGGUAAGGCAACGGCUUACCAAAGCAACGAUGCGUACUCCACCUGAGACGGUGAAGCGCCACACUGGAACGGAGACACGGCCCCAACACCUGCAGAAGGCAGCAGUAGGGAAUCUUACGCAAGGAACGAAUGCGUAACGGAACAACGCCGAGUGAGUAAUGAACGUCCUAGGAUCCUAAAACUAUGUUAUUAGAGAAGAACAAAAGCGUAAUUAACUAUGCACGUCUUGACGGUACCAACACAAAAAGCCACGGCUAACUACGUG